rnacentral:rRNA from 1 species
GACCACCAGUGGCGAAGGCUGUCGGCUAGAACGCGCCCGACGGUGAGGGAUGAAAGCUGGGGGAGCGAACCGGAUUAGAUACCCGGGUAGUCCCAGCCGUAAACGAUGCAGGCUAGGUGUUGGAGCGGCCAUGGGCCGCUCCAGUGCCACAGGGAAGCCGUUAAGCCUGCCGCCUGGGGAGUACGGCCGCAAGGCUGAAACUUAAAGGAAUUGGCGGGGGAGCACCACCAGGCGUGAAGCCUGCGGUUUAAUUGGAGUCAACACCGGGAAGCUUACCGGGGGCGACAGCAGGGUGAAGGCCAGGUUGAAGGCCUUGCUGGACGAGCUGAGAGGAGGUGCAUGGCCGUCGUCAGUUCGUGCCGUGAGGUGUCCUGUUAAGUCAGGCAACGAACGAGACCCGUGCCCCUAGUUGCCACCGAAUCCUAAAGGGAUGUCGGGCACUCUAGGGGGACUGCCACCGAUAAGGUGGAGGAAGGGACGGGCGACGGCAGGUCAGUAUGCCCCGAAUCCCCCGGGCCACACGCGGGCUGCAAUGGUAGGGACAGAGGGCUCCGACCCCGAGAGGGGAAGGCAAUCCCUAAACCCUACCUCAGUUGGGAUCGAGGGCUGCAACUCGCCCUCGUGAACAUGGAAUGCCUAGUAACCGCGUGUCAUCAACGCGCGGUGAAUACGUCCCCGCUCCUUGCACACACUGCCCGUCGCGCCACCCGAAUGAAGCUUGGGUGAGGUGUGGUCGAAGGUUGGCCGCAUCGAACCUGAGCUUCGUGAGGAGGGCGAAGUCGUAACAAGGUGGCCGUAGGGGAACCUGCGGCCGGAUCACCUCCUUAGCAA